rnacentral:rRNA from 1 species
AGCAGCCGCGGUAAUUCCAGCUCCAAUAGCGUAUAUUAAAGUUGUUGCAGUUAAAAAGCUCGUAGUUGAAUUUCGGGAUCAGUACGCUGGUCGUGCCUUUGGUAUGUACUGGUGUCACUGAUUCCUCCCUUCUGAAGAACCGUUAUGCCAUUUAUUUGGUGUGGCGGGAAAUCAGGACUGUUACUUUGAAAAAAUUAGAGUGUUUAAAGCAGGCUCGCGCUUGAAUACAUUAGCAUGGAAUAAUGAAAUAGGACGUUUGAUCUUAUUUUGUUGGUUUCUAGGAUCGACGUAAUGAUUAAUAGGGAUAGUUGGGGGCAUUAGUAUUCAAUUGUCAGAGGUGAAAUUCUUGGAUUUAUUGAAGACUAACUACUGCGAAAGCAUUUGCCAAGGAUGUUUUCAUUAAUCAAGAACGAAAGUUAGGGGGUCGAAGACGAUCAGAUACCGUCGUAGUCUUAACCAUAAACUAUGCCGACUAGGGAUCGGAUGAUGUUAAUUUUUAAUGACUCAUUCGGCGCCUUAA